rnacentral:lncRNA from 1 species
GGUACAGGUGUUGGCUGCGUUUGCAAUUCUUCAUGGUCACAGUGCCGCCAUGUGCCAAGGUUCUCAAAGAUGUUUAAAGGAUGCGCAAUAGAAAAGGUGAGCCCACUUAUUCGAUGAUUGGUCAUCUUUUCAGUGGCAGAAGAACGUCGAGGCAUGAAUGCAUUUUCACGAAGAAAAAUAAUUAUGCAUUGUUUUCUUUGAAUGUACCCUGAUUUUUCUACUUGCGUGGAUGCAAAAAUGAAUAUGUUUGUUAAGUUGCAGUUCCAAGCUAUGUGUGAGAAUUUGACUGAUCAUUUCGAGGGAUGGAAGGGUUUCUAUCAGGGCAUGAGACUAAUAGAGAAGAGCUUGUCUGUGAUCUAAGUCAAAUUUCAUUUAUACUUCUGUAUUUUUAUAUUAUCAUGUGUCCAUAUAUAUGCUGUAUCUUCAGAAAACAUUACUGCGAUGCUUUGUUCUUGGAUGGUAGAAAUCAUCCAGCUCCAGAUGGGCAGAGUGUACAAAACGAAGCAAACUGAUGUCAUAUUGGUGGCUUACGUCAAGUAAAAUCAUUUGGAAGCUCUGAACUUGCCACUCAAUUGGAAGUAGUCUUUGGUGUAGGAAACACGUGGUUAGUGAUUUUUUUGAAAUAAUCAUAGUUAGUGAUAUCCAAUCAAAAUUUUUGUAUCUUAGGUGUUUGAGCACUGCACAUUCAAUUGGAAGUUGGGGCAUCUGUUUUACUGUGAAUGAACUUCAUGUCGACCAGGCUAGUGGCAGAUUCUGUUUUACUGUUAUACAAUGAUUACGAUGAAAAACUAAUGCUUACGGAGAUAAUUGUUUCAUCCUGUACAUGUUUUUAAUAUUUA